rnacentral:rRNA from 1 species
UACAGAGGGGGCGAAGCGUUAUUCGGAAUUAUUGGGCGUAAAGGGCGCGUAGGCGGUCCUUCAAGUCUCUCGUGAAAUCCCUCGGCUUAACUGAGGACGUGCGGGAGAUACUGCUGGGCUUGAGUCCGGAAGAGGGUGGUGGAAUUCCCAGUGUAGCGGUGAAAUGCGUAGAUAUUGGGAGGAACACCGGUGGCUAAGGCGGCUCUCUAGUACGGUACUGACGCUGAGACGCGAAAGCGUGGGGAGCGAACAGG